rnacentral:rRNA from 1 species
UACGUAGGGGGCAAGCGUUGUCCGGAUUUAUUGGGCGUAAAGAGCGUGUAGGCGGCCAAGCAGGUCCGCUGUGAAAACUCGAGGCUCAACCUCGAGACGUCGGUGGAAACCGUUUGGCUAGAGUCCGGAAGAGGAGAGUGGAAUUCCCGGUGUAGCGGUGAAAUGCGCAGAUAUCGGGAAGAACACCCGUGGCGAAGGCGGCUCUCUGGGACGGUACUGAUGCUGAGACGCGAAAGCGUGGGGGGCGAACAGG